rnacentral:rRNA from 1 species
UACGAAGGGGGCUAGCGUUGUUCGGAGUUACUGGGCGUAAAGGGUGCGUAGGCGGUUGUUUAAGUUUGGUGUGAAAUCUCCCGGCUCAACUGGGAGGGUGCGCCGAAUACUGAAUGACUAGAGUGCGGGAGAGGAGAGUGGAAUUCCUGGUGUAGCGGUGAAAUGCGUAGAUAUCAGGAGGAACACCGGUGGUGUAAACGGCUUUCUGGACCAUAACGUGACGCUGAUGCACGAAAGCGUGGGUAGCAAACAGG